UACGUAGGGGGCAAGCGUUGUCCGGAUUUACUGGGCGUAAAGGGCGGGUAGGCGGCCACCGCAAGUCAGUUGUGAAAUCUCCGGGCUUAACCCGGAAAGGUCAACUGAUACUGCGGGGCUAGAGUGCAGAAGGGGCAACUGGAAUUCUCGGUGUAGCGGUGAAAUGCGUAGAUAUCGAGAGGAACACCUGCGGCGAAGGCGGGUUGCUGGGCUGACACUGACGCUGAACUGCGAAAGCUAGGGGGGCGAACGGG
rnacentral:rRNA from 1 species